rnacentral:misc_RNA from 1 species
AAGCCCAAUGUAACAACCAACCCACUUCCUACACAUAACCAAGUCCCCCCGCCCAAAAAUAUUAACCACAUCCAUACAUUACCACCCACCUUCAACCCUAGCACAUACAUUACCUUAUCCCACUUACCAAAAUCGGAGGUGGUCAUUCCGAAAGACACAAACAUGUGCAUGAUGGAUCUGACACCACAAACCCAACCCAAACCCGUGGCAGUAGACACAGAGGAAGAGAAGAAUGCACUAAAGA